rnacentral:rRNA from 1 species
UACGUAGGGUGCAAGCGUUAAUCGGAAUUACUGGGCGUAAAGCGUGCGCAGGCGGUUUUGUAAGUCUGUCGUGAAAGCCCCGGGCUUAACCUGGGAAUUGCGAUGGAGACUGCAAGGCUUGAAUCUGGCAGAGGGGGGUAGAAUUCCACGUGUAGCAGUGAAAUGCGUAGAGAUGUGGAGGAACACCGGUGGCGAAGGCGGCAUCCUGGACCGGCAUUGACGCUGAGGCGCGAAAGCCAGGGGAGCAAACGGG